UGCGAUAGUUGCUGUCGCUAUAGCAUUCAUUACACCCCUCAUAUUGGCAUUUCCAUCCUUUUCCACCUAUUUGGGUGUGUUAUUGGGCGACACAAUUCUUCAUUGCUUGCUCUUCUAUGGUAAUUGCUGGAUCAGUUGCUCGUAUUGACAAUAUACGGGGAGAAUAAAUUGUAUAGUGGAGGAGAUUCCAUUUUUCCCUGUAUUCUCUUCCGUAAAGCGUCUCCUGCGGUACAGUCUUGGGUCCGUUUCUCUUGGGUCACUGGUGGUGUCAAUUGUGGAGUGGGUGCGGUUUAUACUCGAGUCUCUUCGUCGCAGGUUGAAGCACGUUGAUACUGUUUCUGAAAGCUGCAUGGGGAGAACAAUGUCCUCUUCUUCUCAUUGUUGCCUAGGGUGCAUAGGUCGGACCAUCAAAUCCGUGAAUCGGAAUGCUUAUAUUAUGGCUUGUGAAUAAGAUAAACUGUUCAAUUGGUCAAGAUCCCCACUCAAAGUUUCUAAUUGGGGUACUGGAUAUUUAUGCUUCAAAAGUUUCAAGACAAACAGGUGCUUAACUGGUAUGCUUUGCUUUCGUCAGGAUUAUCCAAAUUUUCAUGUCAAUUUUAGUAGUCUCAAAGUAAUUUGAAUAUGGAUGACCUUGUUAUUACUUUGAGAUCAUGAUAAUGUAUGUUUUUAUGUGAUUACACUUGGAUACUUGGUUGAAGUAAUAAACUUGGUUCAGGGUA